GGAAUUUUCCGCAAUGGGCGAAAGCCUGACGGAGCAAUCUCGCGUGAGGGAUGACUGCCUAUGGGUUGUAAACCUCUUGUUUCAGGGAGGAAUUAAUGACGUUACCUGAAGAAUAACCAUCGGCUAACUCCGUGCCAGCAGCCGCGGUACGUCGGAGGAUGCAAUUGUUAUCCGGAAUCACUGGGCGUAAAGCGUCUGUAGGUGGUUUAGUAAGUCGACUGUUAAAUCUUGAAGCUUAACUUCAAAAUCGCAGUCGAAACUAUUAGACUAGAGUAUAGUAGGGGUAAAGGGAAUUUCCAGUGGAGCGGUGAAAUGCGUAGAGAUUGGAAAGAACACCGAUGGCGAAGGCACUUUACUGGGCUAUUACUGACACUCAGAGACGAAAGCUAGGGUAGCAAA
rnacentral:rRNA from 1 species